rnacentral:rRNA from 1 species
CAGCAGGUCUGUAGCAAUACAGAUGCUGGCGACCGGCAAACGGGUGUGGAACACGUACACAACCUUCCUUUAAGUGGGGAAUAGCCCGGGGAAACCCGGAUUAAUACCCCGUAAUAUAGUGAUUAGGCAUCUUAUUACUAUUAUAGCAGCAAUGCGCUUAAUGAUGGGUGUGCGCCUGAUUAGGCAGUUGGCGGGGUAACGGCCCACCAAACCUACGAUCAGUAACUGGUGUGAGAGCACGACCAGUCACACGGGCACUGAGACACGGGCCCGACUCCUACGGGAGGCAGCAGUAAGGAAUAUUGGUCAAUGGACGCAAGUCUGAACCAGCCGUGCCGCGUGGAGGAUGAAGGUCCUCUGGAUUGUAAACUUCUUUUAUCUGGGAAGAAAUCCAUGAAUUCUUUUGUGGUUGACGGUACCAGAUGAAUAAGCACCGGCUAACUCCGUGCCAGCAGCCGCGGUAAUACGGAGGGUGCAAGCGUUAUCCGGAUUCACUGGGUUUAAAGGGUGCGUAGGUGGGCAGGUAAGUCAGUGGUGAAAUCUCUGGGCUUAACUCAGAAACUGCCAUUGAUACUAUCUGUCUUGAAUACCGUGGAGGUCAGCGGAAUAUGUCAUGUAGCGGUGAAAUGCUUAGAUAUGACAUAGAACACCAAUUGCGAAGGCAGCUGGCUACACGAAUAUUGACACUGAUGCACGAAAGCGUGGGGAUCAAACAGGAUUAGAUACCCUGGUAGUCCACGCCCUAAACGAUGGAUACUCGACAUACGCGAUACACAGUGUGUGUCUGAGCGAAAGCAUUAAGUAU